CCCACCCAGUCAGGAGAGAGUUUCCUUCGAGGAAACCGCCGAAGGCGCAAGAUUGCUGAUUGCAGCGGUCUGAACGCUCAGGCAAAAGGACUGACCCGCGUUG
rnacentral:ncRNA from 1 species